AUACAUAACAGAAUUUACAAAGGCCCCAUUAUGGUAAAAAUUAGUUUUUCACACCUUUUUGUGUUCUUUAUUAUUAUAUACUAACUGCAGCUUAUUAUCUGGUUAAAUUGGAGUAGAAUAUUAUUAUCGAGCAAGGUGAAAAUGAUUCUCAGGACAAGUUUGUGUAACCGAUGUUUCCUUCAAGGAGCUUCUUGAUUUGUAUCCUCAGGUAUGAUAAGGAACACACUUGAAACCGAAUCGGUUGCAUUACAACCAGCCACAUAAUGCUUUGAGCCAUCAAACACAGACUGAGUCAAAUAUGUGUCAACAUAAACCUUUACUUGUGGGGAAAUCACUGCGUGCAAUAUGAGAAAGAAAAUCAAUAUCAAGUACAAUAGUGGUGUUUUCAACUUAAUCUAGUAGUGUGCUGGCAUUACACACCCCUGUCCUUUAAUCCCUGUUGAGGAGAGAGUUAUCGACUGGAGUCAUUGAUCCACCUGAACCAACAUCUAACGUCUGAAUAUUUCAAUAACCUGGUGGGCUCCUUCCCCUGGGAGCCAGAUGUGACUCAGGUAUAACUGAGGCAAAACAAAGGACGUUAGUACUCUAUUAGUCACGCUGCUUACGGUCUGUCUCUGUCUGUGUGUGUGUGUGUGUGUGUGUGUGUGUGUGUGUGUGUGUGUGUGUGUGUUUGAGUGUGCGUGGGCCAGUGAUGUAAAGGCUUCAUUCACCAGCGAGGCCGGUGCUCGUCCAGCUUUCUCUCAGUGCCGUGGGGUGGAAAGACAGAGCGGAGGAGGUGUUGGGUUUCCUCUCUCCCGGUCUGCAUAAUAUGACACAGCGGCACAAGCACCUUCUGUCAUAGCCCAGCAUCCCUGCCCCCCCCCCCCCCGUUCCUCUCAUCCAUCCCACGAUCAUUAAAACGAGAAAACCCCCCGCUGAAUAAAACUGCUAUUUUUCCGUUAAACCAGGGCCUCUGUGUCCCGAUGCAGCGUUUCCCUUUUCAUUUUUUAAAAGCCCCCAGGUCUUUCAUCCCAAAGUCAAUUUUGCCUGGCGGUUAGUCAAAUGCUUUAAAUGUUUAUAAGUGCCUGUGAAGAGUGUAAGCUUUAAGUGUGAUAGACUACCCUGGGACCGGGGGCCGGGCUGUGUGGAGGAAAAAUGAGGCUAGAUGAACAGCCUGGGCUAAAAAUGAAUGCUUGUUGGUGGCAGACUGUGGAAGGUCUGGAUGGGAUUAUAAUGGGCUGAUUACGGUGGAAUUGUCUCUAUGUUAGGAUUACUAUCUGACAUGACUAUAGAGCGAUGCUGAAACAAAUGGAAUUAGUUUCAUUACAUCAUUUGAUUUAUUAGAUAUUUAUUUAUCUUCGAUGGCCCAGUUUGUAUCUGGUUCGGCCUGCACACCGUGGAUGCCGCUCUGCACAAAGAGCUUUUUCCCGGCUUGUGACAAACCACAUACUGCAGGCUGAGUGAGGAGCGCCUCCCAAAUUACAGUUUAGUGGUUGUUUUAUGUUAACGCUCAGGGUACUAGAUCAUCGUACGUCAUAUCAUUAUCGUAUUAGGACUGAUUAAUUGUAUUCUAGAUGUGUCUGCUUCAUAUGAGCUGUGCAGCUUGCGGAUCCUUCUUGUGACAGAGCUGGUCCGCCUGGAGAAAUUGACGUUGGCUGAAGUGAAAGUCCUCUCUGCAGCCUCUUGCUCGAUGGUGUCGUGGUCCGUUAUAUUUCCUUCGCAUGAGAAGCAGUGAGAUGAGACUGAUUCGGUUUGCCGCUCUGUGUUCGAACGCAGCUCACUGGCCAGCCUCUUCGGGUAUCUGAGUCACUCUAAGAAAUGAUGAUUGAGUAGAUGGGAGAUCUAGAGGACGUUUGUCAGCUGGUCGAAUGACUUUCAGAUAAUGAGAAAUCUGAAAAAACGUCCACGCCUCCUUGGGAGAGGGUCUGAUUACAUGAUACCACUUCAGCUGCAAAUGUGAGGACUGAGUUGUAAUUGCUGUCAGUACUAUUUAACGUGUUAAAAGCGGUGUUAAUGAAUGCGAAGCCUAACCCUAACACCUAACCCUCACACCUAACACUAACCCCUAACCCUAACACCUAACCCUCACACCUAACCCUAACCCUCGGUAACCAGAAAUGACUCCAAAUGAAGAAGAAGAAAGUUACGGAAGAAAUGUUACACCACAUCUGAGUACAGUUGACUUACACUUUGUUAAGUCAUUUCAACCCAAAUGCUGAUAAUCCUUCACAGAUUGAGCUUUCAUCAUUUUCAGAGCAAAUUCAAACUGAUCCAUCGCUCUCUUGUCUCACAUAAUGUAUUGAUCUGGAUCUGCAGGGGACACAUUCCGUAAGGACAACAGUUUCCUAUGUAAAGAUCAAUAGGAUCUCCACAUAUGAUCCUGUUUGACACAAAAAAAAAAAAAAACCUUUUCCCUUAGAGACUUUGCCCCCGAGCGAUGCCUCGGGUCCAAAGACUGUGUCAUUUUGUGAAGAGACAUGCGCUCGCCGCUUUUGGCAUUCAUACUGAAGUGGGAAACAGAAGGGUUGGAGGGAACAAGGCAGGAGGUGGAUCUGGGUUCUUAGUCUUGCCCUUUUCCUCACCCCCCCCCCACCACUUGCUGCCAGCCGUUGCCAAUCGAGCAUUGCUCCUAUUUACAGACAUCUUGUGCGCCGCAAAUCCUGCCAGGCUGUUCCUCACCCGUUCUCUUUAUUGGUAUCUCGUUAGGUAGUCUGUUAAGGCCGAUAUUAAUGCUGUUUGGAUUGAAGGAGACAAUUUGCCUCCCAACUUUAUUUUUCUCGGGGUGGUAAAGUCUUUGAAACAGAAGAAGAACACGGGGCCGAAACACGGGAGACGCCACAACUGCUGUCCCCGUAAUCGUACCAUUGAUUUUGGCACAGAUUGAGAGUUGAAGAGGGUGUCGAUGACCAAUAUUGAUCAACUUCAACCAUCACAUCAGGCAAGGAUCAAUGCUCGCUGGAUUUGAAAAAGCAAGUUGAUAAAAUGAAUUCAUUAAAAUGAGCGAACCGGCAGCUACACUCCCUUAUUAGGGACAAAAUCUCCGUCCAUCGUCUCCACUGACUUCCUGGUCUCAGAAACAACUCUGUUUGUUCUGAUGUCACUGCAAUCAGGAGAGGUCGUGGCUCCAUUCCGACGGCACACAAGCGGCCCGUUGAGCUUCCCUCCUCUUUCCUUUCUCGUUGAGCUGCCGUCUCGGGGCGUGUCCGGCGACGCGUCGUCACCGACAGCGGAGAGUAAGGGACGCUCUCCGGUCUGUUGAUCUGGUUGUUGCGCGCGUGCACGCGUCUCAAGUAUUGAUUUGGAAAGCGAAACGUCGCUCACUACGUAACGAUAAAGUGGAGCGUGGCUGCGGUUGCAGAAGUGGCCUUCAGGUAUUGUCAGAUACUUUGUCUGAGCAGAGAAUGAAGCCACUCUCCCUCUGCUUGCGUUAAAAUCUAGGGCAUGUGCUACGAAGCAAGCUCAACACACCCCGGGUAUGUUUUGGUUAUCGCUCUCAACCAACGCCAACGCACUCGCCUUUAAAUCCAAUCAAAUCGCUUUGACAUAACGGAACACGUGCCUGACUCAUCUCUCACCGGAGAGACGACCCUGACCUUUGCACUGGCCAUUUGCAGUUGCUUGUCAUUUGUUUGCGAUGCACAGGACAAAUUAAAGGGUGUUCUCCUCCACAGUAAAUCAAUCAGAAUCACAGCGGCAGCAGCAGCAUCGCGGUCAGAGAUGAACCGGUGAUGCAGCCUCGCGGUUUGUGGGAUUGAUGCUGUUCCUGCUCAUGUUGUGUCCGUGCCAUUUGGUAGACGCGUGUGUAUAGGCUGCUAAUGAAAGGAGGGGAAGGCGGAGGACUGGGGUGCAUUUGGAAUUGGUGGGAUACAGCUGGACGGAGUUGGAGACUGGGGUGAAUAGGUAACCAUGGAAACUCUGUUGGCAAAGAUUUAAAUGCGGAGAGAAAGAGAGAGGGAGCGAGCAAAGGGGGGGGAAAAGGAUGUGUGUGUUUGUGUGCAGUGGACGGAGAAUGAAGUGGGGUUAAGGGUUAAUGUGCAUCAUUGUAGGAGGUUAAUCUUUCAUCAAACUGCGAGGUCAAUGCAGCGUUUACCCCGGGCCAGUGGACACGACAGAGCGGAGGCACGGGGAGAAAGUAGUGGUAGUCAGGUAAGAGGUGUAAGGCAUCUGGAGAAGGAGGAGGUUAAAUGAAUUCACUUUUUAGAAAAGGAGAUGGG
ensembl:lncRNA